GAUGAAGAACGUAGCGAAAUGCGAUAAGUAAUGUGAAUUGCAGAAUUCAGUGAAUCAUCGAAUCUUUGAACGCACCUUGCGCUCCUUGGUAUUCCUUGGAGCAUGCCCGUUUGAGUAUCAUGAAAUCUUCAAAGUCAAACCUUUUGUUAAUUCAAUUGGUUCUGCUUUGGUAUUGGAGGAUUAUUGCAGCUUCACACCUGCUCCUCUUUGUGCAUUAGCUGGAUCUCAGUGUUAUGCUUGGUUCCACUCAGCGUGAUAAGUUAUCUAUCGCUGAGGACACCCUGUUAAAAAGGGGUGGCCAAGGUAAAUGCAGAUGAACCGCUUCUAAUAGUCCAUUGACUUGGACAAUAUCUAAUUUAUGAUCUGAUCUCAAAUCAGGUAGGACUACCCGCUGAACUUAAGCAUAUCAAUAAGCGGAGGA
rnacentral:misc_RNA from 1 species